UUCUCACACCCCAUUAGCUUUCCUGCUGGCUCCAGGAUUUAUGGGAACUGGGGCAGGCGCUGGACAAAGGGACAGGACUGGGGACCGACUCUCUCUGCAGCCCUGAGUACCCACGGCAGUUUCCUGUGAGCAGUGGAGACACACUUGACUCACCUCGGUCCACCUCCCCGUGCCGCACACAGCCACGAUUCUGGCCAGUCCAUCAUCUUUGGGUUUUCAUUAGAACCGGUUGACCCACUUUGCUUUGGACCUGGCUGUUCUUUUCCCAGGAUUUUAUUUCCAUUUAUUCAAUUGUAAGUUGGAAAGUGAUAAAAUUAAUGGGUGAUGGGAGACUGGAAAAGUUGGGGAAUGAAGAAGAUGCUGACUGAAGUCAAGUGCUGGAGCUGGAACCUGGGGCCUCAUGCAUGAUGAGCAGGUGCUGUCCACCCCGAGCCAGGCCCUGGGCUGAGAGCUGCAUGCUCCAUGUACUUUAACUGGACAUGGACACUUCAAGGUCACCUGAAGCACUUUCCAAGGAAUCCUAGACAGACAUCAGGAAGAGGAAAAGAGGAAGCCGCUGUGAGACACACCACUAAGGAAAAAGUUCGGGUGCACAGUGUGAGUUUAUAGAGACAGAGUCCACAGGAAGUGAUUCCAACAGGUUCCUCUGGGCCGGGGAGCUGGGCUGCUUACGCCAAUGGUGGGAGGCAGGGUUUUUACUGUUUAUACUUCUGUAGCCUUGCAAAUGCUUUCUGUUAAUUUUUAUUAAAGUCUAAUUCCAGCACAGUGGUGCAUACCUCCUCAGGAGGCUGAGGCAGAAGGAUCUAAAGCUCGGGGCCAGAAUGUGAACCUUAGCCAGAUCUUACCUCAAUCAAUCAGUCGAUCAAUAUUAAGGAAGGGUUGGUGAUAUAGCUCAGAGGGCUCAAUCCCUCACAUACUAAAUAAAUAAAUUACAAAUAGUAAGGCAGCGAAGAAUAUGGGUCUCCAUGCAAGAAGAAAGUUGAGAAAAGACAGAGUUGACUGUCUUCGGACGAUGUGGUCACUGGAUACUUCUGUACUUUUUCUGUUCAUUUAAAUUCCUGCCAUUUCUGAAGUGAACACAGAGAACAUUCUUUUGUAAUUUUUUUUAAGGAGUAAGAAAGUAAGUGUAUGACUUCCCCCUCCUGCUUGCCCUUCAUGGUAUGGAUUCCUUUAUAUGUGUAUUUGAGAUCUCUGGAACGGUCACUGUAAAAUGCCUCGGGGUGGUGGGAUGCAGGGAAAAAGCUCCUUAAAAAGCAGCUUCUGAGGCUGUGGGGGGGAUGAGAAGGGUUUCCAGACGCACACGGAUGCCAACCCGUGAGAAGAGAACGUGGAUGCCUGCACCCGGACGGGGGAGAUGGGCUUGUGAACUUGGUGACCUCCAUCUCCAGCAAUCCUGCCAAGGAACCCAAGAAACCAGCUCCUGACCAUGCCCGGUGGGCAAAUGAGGAAAGGUGAGAUGUGAUGGAGAUCUUUCAAGACAUCGAAGGUCCCCAAGGACCAGGGAGAGAUUCCACCUCUCCCUUUCAUCAAUAACGAUGACAAGAAUUGUCCUCUGGUUCACUGCAGUCAGAUUCUUACAGGGUGAAUUACUCUAGGUGCACUUGUUUAAUUCUGUUUGUUUUUAUGAGGAUUAAACAAGAAAACUGCCCUUGGCCAGUGGACAACCCUUGCACCUGACCAUGGCUGUACUCUGCACUGACUUCAUUCGAUUUAACGUAAGGCAUAACUGUGGUGCAUACUCUCACAGCUUCUGUC